GGAUUGGGAGGGUUCUACGGAACCCGUUUGGUGAAUCUAGUGCCGAGAAAAGCCUUCUAUGUGUUGAAUUUCUAGUACCCGUACCCCAAACCGACACAGGUGGGUGGGUAGAGCAUACCUAGGGGCGCGUGAUAACUCUCUCUAAGGAACUCGGCAAAAUGGCCCUGUAACUUCGGGAUAAGGGGUGCCUGCGUGAGCAGGCCGCAGUGAAAUGGCUCUGGCGACUGUUUACCAAAAACACAGGUCUCUGCUAAGUCGUAAGACGAUGUAUAGGGGCUGACUCCUGCCCAGUGCCGGAAGGUUAAGGAAGUUGGUUAGCGCAAGCGAAGCUGGCGACCGAAGCCCCGGUGAACGGCGGCCGUAACAAUAACGGUCCUAAGGUAGCGAAAUUCCUUGUCGGGUAAGUUCCGACCCGCACGAAAGGAGUAACGAUCAGAGCGCUGUCUCGGAGAGAGACACGGCGAAAUAGGAUUGUCCGUGAAGAUACGGACUACCUGCACCCGGACAGAAAGACCCUAUGAAGCUUUACUGUAACUUGGAAUUGUGUUCGGACUUUGUCUGCGCAGAAUAGGUGGGAGGCUAUGAAACGUUCCUCGCGGGGAACUGGAGCCAUCGUUGAGAUACCACUCUGGCAGAGUCUGGAUUCUAACCUACGGGGACAGUUCCAGGUGGGCAGUUUGACUGGGGCGGUCGCCUCCUAAAAUGUAACGGAGGCGCGCAAAGGUUCCCUCAGGCUGGUUGGAAAUCAGCCAUAGAGUGUAAAAGCAUAAGGGAGCUUGACUGUGAGACCUACAAGUCGAGCAGGGACGAAAGUCGGCUUUAGUGAUCCGACGGCACUGAGUGGAAGGGCCGUCGCUCAACGGAUAAAAGUUACUCUAAGGAUAACAGGCUGAUCUCCCCCAAGAGUUCACAUCGACGGGGAGGUUUGGCACCUCGAUGUCGGCUCGUCGCAACCUGGGGCGGUAGUACGUCCCAAGGGUUGGGCUGUUCGCCCAUUAAAGCGGCACGUGAGCUGGGUUCAGAACGUCGUGAGACAGUUCGGUCCAUAUCCGGUGUAGGCGUAGGAGCAUUGAAAGGAUCUCUCCUUAGUACGAGAGGACCGCAGGGACGUACCUCUGGUGUACCUGUUAUCGUGCCAACGGUAAACGCAGGGUAGCCAUGUACGGAGUGGAUAACCGCUGAAAGCAUCUAAGUGGGAAGCCCACCUUAAGAUGAGUGCUCCCUUGAGGCCACGGGAAGACGACCCGUUUGAUAGGCGCUAGGUGGAAGUGCAGUAAUGCAUGCAGCCGAGGCGUACUAAUAGGCCGAUGGC
rnacentral:rRNA from 1 species